rnacentral:lncRNA from 1 species
ACCUCUCGAAAAAACCCUCUUCAUCUCUCUCCCUCUCUCUAGGAACCCAAAUUCUUGAUGAAAAUUACUCUCUGGGAAAAUCUCUCACCUCCCGCCAGAUCCAACAGCUGGCCUCAAAGGGCACCCAAAACUACGGGAUCAAUGUCGUUUUGACAUCGUCUGAUGUUCUUGUUGAUGGGUUUUGCAUGAACCAGUGCGGGACCCACGGCUCAUCCAACAGCGGUAGUCAAAUCAGAGGAUCAAAAACCAAGUUUACUUACAUUUGGGUUGGAAACUCAGAGACCCAAUGCCCAGGGCAAUGCGCGUGGCCGUUCCACCAGCCCAUCUAUGGACCCCAGAGCCCACCUCUCGUGGCCCCCAACAACGACGUGGGCCUGGAUGGCAUUGUGAUCAACCUCGCUAGUCUUUUGGCAGGGACCGUGACCAACCCCUUCGGAAAUGGCUACUUCCAGGGUCCGAAGGAGGCUCCUUUGGAAGCUGCUUCCGCUUGCCCCGGGGUCUACGGCAAGGGGUCCUACCCUGGUUACGCUGGGGACCUACUAGUGGACCCCACAACCGGAGCUAGCUACAAUGCUCAUGGAUCUAAUGGGAAGAAGUACUUGCUUCCUGCUUUGUACGACCCUUCGACUUCAACUUGUUCUACUUUGGUUUAGAGGAAAUAUGAAUUAAUAUUAGGGUAUAUGUACAAUACUAAAGGGAGUAUAAACAUUAGGGAGCUGUAUUUUGGUAUUUAAAUAUUUUUUUAUUCUUUUGUAUCACAUUAAAAAAUAAUAAAACUACAUUAUUUUGUUAUUCUUUUAAUCCUUAUCUGCAUGGUAUUAUUUUGUCAUGUUUAGUUAUCUUGGGGUAUGUCACAAGGUCUACCACAAAAAUCAAUUCUAAUGGUACACGUGGCAAAAUACAUAUAGAAUUAAUCUACAACUCAAAAGAGGUGGACAGUAACUUCUUCAUGAAAAUAAAAUACAAAUUACAGUAUGAUAUUAUGUACACAAAUAUUUCAUUAAAACCAUAAAAUGAUAGUUUCUCUGCGCAUGCCAAAAUUUGAUUUGUUUAAAAGGGUUACGAGUUAUACAAAGGCAAGUAUUUUCCAAAAUUACCAAACUUAGACAUAAUUCCCACUUUUACUACCGAAUUUAUUAGUUCAAAAAAAAAAAAAACAAUUUUUGAACAAACUAUACAUUAUAUAGUUUGAGUUUUAUGUUAAAAUUCAAAGUAAAUGAAAGGUGUAGAUUGACUUUAAUACAUAAUUUCUGCAAUUAAAUUAGUAACAUUAUUGUUAUCAUGUCACAUAAUAUUAAUUACUAGCCAUAUAUAUGAUAAUGCGUAAUAUAACUGUAACAUACAAUAAUUUUCGCACGGUUGAGAAGCUAGAAAUAAUGUAUACAUCAACAUGUUCCUCUUAUACAAUGUAUGCAUGUCCCUUCUCCUCUCUUCUUUUGUUUGUCAAAAUUAUUGUUUAUGUCCUUGCAAACCAUUAUUCCUUUGAGCACAGUCGACACGGUCCAAGGAGCUAGCCGACCAUACAAACCCAAUUCCAUAAAUCUGAUGACUUCCACAUGCCGCAUAUUUGGCGGUGAACUAGCCGACCAUCCACUUAUCGACAGACACUCCUCUCUAAGACAAGGGAUCUUUAUUUUUAUUUUUCAGAAAAUAUGGAAUAGGAGUGGAACACACUCUACAUCACACUUCAACGAUCCGAACCGUCUAUUUUGUAAGUUUCGAUUCAUAGAUUAUCCUGCAAAAAUUCAAUUCAAUCCAAAAUUAUUUACAUAUUAUAUUUCUGUUAUCACAAUGAUGUUUCAUUGGUUCUUAUAAAACAAAUUGUUCAUCAAUUUUUUUGAACUCUAUUAGAUGUCUCAAAUAUUUUCCAUUUGGCUUAAGAUUUUGUAAGGAUGAUCAAAGAAUGGUUUGAAUCAUUGAAAUUUGAUGUGGUGUGAGCCCCACAACUAUUCUCCAUUAAAAAAAAAAGGGUUUUUAGCCAAAUUGAUCCCUGAGAUUUGCAUAACUCUUUACUUUGGUCUAUGAGAUUUGAAAUAGAUAGAAUUGGUCCCUGAGUUUGUCCACAAUCAAUCAUUUUGGUCAUUCCGUGAAAAAUCUCCAUAAAAUAAGAAUAAAAUAACAAAAAUAUCUUCAAUUUUGGUCAAAUGAUUUUGGCCUAUUGCUUAUUAAAUUGAGGGUAGUUUUGUCAUUUUGAUCCUUAUUUAACAUAAUUUUUCACCUACUGACCAAAAUGAUUGCUAGUGAACAAUUUUAGGGACCACUUCUAUUAAUUUCAAAUAUUAGGGACCAAAAUGAAGAGUUAUCCAAAUCUUAUAGACAAUUUUGGCUAAAAAGAGAGUUCAUUCCCUUAAAGGUCUCUUAUCUACAUAUACACCCUUGGGCAGCACACAUGUGCACAACUCAUUGUUAGAGAAAAUGUAGAAAUAUAGAGAAUAAUCCGAAAGAUGACUUUGAGGUACAACUUGAAUCGUUUCCUUAAAGUGUUAUUUGCCUCCACUUGAAUGAGUUUGCUAAAGGGUUCUUGGCAAAUAAUUUCCAGGAUACAACAAAGUAUGAAAUAUUCGAUUAGCAAAACUGAAUUAUAUUCCACUAGAAAUAAAUAGAAAUAAAUUGUAUGAAUGUGAUGGAGAGAGAAGAGAGAGCAAGGAAAUUGUGUAUACAACAAAUAUUUGAAUAAUUCCUUUUCUACUAAUAUCACCAAUAUACAUAGAGAGAAUUGCACCUUUUAGACAUAUCUUUUGGUUUUGGGUGUGUCAUCUCACCAUGAGAUACAACUGAACAUUGCAACAAUGUUUCUAAUGGAUAUGUCUGAUACAAAAGGCGUAAAGGAAUGCAUAUGUACGGGAUGCAUUAUGUCUUUUCGCCAAUAGAUAAAAGGUGCACUGUUUCAUUUCAAAAGGUGUCAUUAUUGGGUUGAAUCCCAUCCGGUCAAACAGCCACAUAUAUAUAUAUAUAUAUAUAUAUAUAUAUGUUACAUUAUAUUAUAUUCUUAAAAUAUUCAACAAUCCUUCCCUAUUUUAAGAACAUAUAUAGAAAAUAAUAUUACAACAAUUCUCUCUUUAUAAUUAUCACAAGCAUACUGAUAUAAUCAUGCAUACAAUAAAGGUGUCUUUCGAAUUAAACCUUUAAUUAGUGUAAGCAAUUCAAAGUUAUAACGAAUGCGAGGGUGACCUAAGUUUAUACCAACUAUUCUUAUGUUAAAACCAGAAUUACUACACACAUGACUAUGUCUUAUUUCCUUAAAGAAAUUUCUGAACUAAUUAAGCACUAUUAUGACCUUGUGCUUCAUCCUGGUUUCACAAAUAUUUACAAGAGAAAACCCAACUCUUGGUAGAAGCGGCACCAUUUCUUAUGUUCAUAUAGGUGAGGUUCAUUCCCAUGUCCCUGCUACUAUAGACAUAAUUACAAAUAACCUCAUUAAGAGAUAAAACUCGUCCUCCUAAACGUAGCAGUCUUGCAUUGAUCAUCCUGGAAUGAGCUAUAUAUUAAUUUUCAGUGCUUUCACAAUCACUUAUCAAUAACUUGUUAUUACCUAUUAAACUUUUAAACUAGUGAUGUUCUAGAUAAAGUCGGGUUACCAUUAUUGGUGGCUAAUUUUCAAUAAAGGGUUUUAGCCCCAUUCCACUGGAUGUACUACCUACCAAAGCUCUUUAAAGUGCUUUCGUUAACGGAUCCACCAAGUUAUUACUUGAUUUAACAUAAAUAAUAUUAAUAACUCCAUCAGUUAUUAAUUGCUUGACAUAUUCAUGUCUCAAGCUAACAUGUCUAGACUUUCAAUUGUAUACCUUAUUAUAUACUCUAGACAAAGUAACUUCACUAUCACAGUAUAAAGAAAUGGAUGGCAUUGGUUAUGGUUACAACUCUAUUUCCAAUAGCAAAUUUCUAAUCCAUUCCGCUUCUUUACCUGCUGUUGCUAAAGCUAUAAAUUCAGAUUCCAUAGUUGAAUGUGCUAUACAUGUUUGCUUCUUCGAAGCCUAAGAAAUUGCUCCUCCGGCAAUUGUAAAAAUCCACCUUGAUGUAGACUUAUUAUCAUUAGCACUUGUUAUCCAACUUGCAUCUGAAUAUCCUUCAAGUACUGCUAGAAAUUCAGAGUAAGUUAAACUCAGGUUAAUAGUUUUUUUAAGAUAACCAAAAAUUCUAUUUAUUGCUUUCCAACAAGCAGUACCUGGAUUACUAGUGUAUCUAGAAAGUUUGUUUACUGCAAAUGCGAUAUCUGGCCUGGUACAAUGCAUGGCAUACAUUAAACUUCCAAUUACACUAACAUACUCAAGCUGUGCAACAGACCUACCAGAAUUAUUAAACAAAGUUUCACUAGGGUCAUAAGGGGUAUUUGUUUCUUAUUUGUAGAUGCUUAAACUUAAGAAGCAAUUUUUCUAUAUAAUGUGACUAACAUAAAGCGUAACCCCUAUUAUGCUUCUUUGCCUUAAUUCCCAAGAUAGUAUCCAUUUCAUUCAAGUCCUUUAUUGGUACCAUAUUAUAUUGGGCCUCCGUAUUUAGACCUUGUAUAAAUACUCGGGGGACUCAAAUGUAAUUAUGUAAUAAAUGAAUGGGCAAAUAUGUAAUAAGUGAUGAGCUCUUAUGCUAUAAAAAGACUCCUCACUCUCCUCAUUAGGGGAGGUCAAAUUUAGGCCAUGGGAAGAGAGAAAAUAGGCUAGAGAGCACACUGCCUCUAGCCUCCUAUAUAUAUUCACCAUUCAUAGUGAAACAAUAUCAACAUCAGUGUGGACGUAGCCUAAACAUUGGGGAGAACCAUAAUACAUCUUCUGUUUUCUACUUUCUUGCAGAUUCAUGAUCGGAUUUACGCUGUUCCAAGACCUUUCGGUUUUGUGCAUCAACAUUUGGCGCCGUCUGUGGGAAUCGACACAAAAAACUAUGUCGGUUUUCUUUCUUUUUUUCACCUUCGCCGUGAAUUUGAAGAAACCAAACACCUGCACAGUCACUGCAAAACGGCAUCGAUGGAAACACAGAGCUAUCUCUCUCUUUCCUCGCUUUCAACAUACAAUUACAGAGAGCACAGAGCGAUAAACGCACGUACGUAGAUACAGAAGAGUGGUCGUACGUAGAGGAUAAUGGCCCUCCGCCGUACUGGAUUGAGGAUUGAGGUCGCACGCAAAGGAUAAUGGCCCUCCGCCGUCCGGGGCUUCUCUUCCCCCACUUUUUCUUCCAUGUGUUAUUUAUUCUGGGUGUAGCAUAUGCUGCUCAGACCUCCGUGGUCAUUCCAUAUUUGCUGGUAUAUCAGAUACACCAAAUAAUCUCUCCGUAUAUGAAAUGGGAAAUUGUGUGUUUAAAGAGCUUCGAGAGGCAGAAGAGAUGGUGAAAGUCGUGACAUACAGUGGGGGAAUAAUAGAGCUCUUUGCCCCCAUCACAACUAACUCUAUAACCAAUGAGUUCCCAGGCCAUGCCAUCUUCCACAGCCCUGACCUCUUCGCGCAACUUCCUCUCCACAACGAAGAGCUUCAUCCUAAAGAGCUUUACUAUCUCCUACCUCUCAACCCCUACAAAACCCCAAAAAAUCAUGAUAUUAAUGCAAACCCUAACGACAUUGUUUGUACACCGUAUCGCAUGUCAUGUGACAAUCAAGGCAAGAGGCCGGCAGAUCCUGAAGUUUUUCCGAGGUACAACAGUAGUGGGGUUUGGAAGGUGAAGCUGGUGAUAAGUCCAGAGCAGCUCUCUGACAUUUUGUCGCAGGAAGCUCGCACUGAGGCUUUGAUUAAAAGCAUGAGGAUAGUGGCCAAGUGUGGCACCGGAAGGAACUCAUCGGUGGCAAGUUCCGAUCAGUGGAGUCUGUCUAGUAGGUGGAAUGAGCUAUCAUCGUGAAAGUUGAAGUUUGGAUGGUCAUGUAGAGAGGCGAAGAAAUGUCGUUGCAAACUUUGAAGAACAACAAAGUAUGGAAGGAGCUAUCAUCGAAUGAGUUUGCUAAAGGGUUCUUAGCAAAUCACUUCCAGGAUCCAACAAAGUAUGGACUAUUCGAUUAGCAAAACCGAAUUAUAUUCCAUUAGAAAUAACUAGAAAUAAAUUGUAUGAAUGUGAUGGAGAGAGAAGAGAGAGCAAGGAAAUUGUGUAUACAACAAAUUUCUGAAUAAUUAUUUUUCUACUAAUAUCACCAAUAUAUAUAGAGAGAAUUGCACAUUUUAGACAUAUCUUUUGGUUUUGGGUGUGUCCUCUCACCAUGAGAUACAACUGAACAUUGCAACAAUGUUUCUAAUGGAUAUGUCUGAUACAAGAGACGUAAAGGAAUGCAUAUGUACGGGAUGCAUUAUGUCUUUUCGCCAAUAGAUAAAAGGUGUACUGUUUCAUUUCAAAAGGUGUGAUUAUUGGGUUGAAUCCCAUCCUGUCAAACAGCCGCAUAUAUAUAUAUAUAUAUAUAUAUAUAUAUAUAUAUAUAUAUAUAUUACAUUAUAUUAUAUUCUUAAAAUAUUCAACACUCAUGCACCCACCAGUCUCCAAUCAGCGAAAAUGACUUACAUUGCAUGAGUACACUGUUAUAUUGAUGUUUUGUGUUGAUGAGAUAAAAGGUAUGUAUAAAUAUUUGUACAUAUAUCCUUAUUUUAUUAGCAAAAAAAAUCUCGAUAUACCCAUGUUAUUUAAGUUCUUCUUCGAAUACACAUGUGCAUAAUUAACUAAGGGGAUACACACGUGCAUAAUUAACUAAGGGGUGUGCUAUCCACACAUUCUUUUUUACUUCUCACACACCCCUUGCUAAUUUCUGUCCGUUGAUCUUCUUCAAUUCAUUCGAUCCGAUGGCCGAAAACAAAAAAGAUGUGGGACAAGUAAAAAGGAGUGUGUGGAUAUCACACCCCAUUAACUAAUUCAACUGACCUAGUUUAGUGCCUGACGAAGCUCAGGUUGUCGCAAUUUAGCCCCGACCACUCACCUCUCACAACUCAACACUAUCGCUGGGUGUGUAGAACUUUCCAUCAUUCCGACCUAUGAAAUAGCUGUUCAUAUAAACACUGUAUAUGUAGCCCAUUUUAGUUCCGAAGGCUGCUCACCUCUACGCUACCAUUAGUUUAACAGCUUAUUAGUCAUCUUUUAUACGACAAAGUGUUGCUAUAUAAGAAAAAAAAAUGAAAUUCAAACUCGGACUAUACUAAGAUUGAUAAAUAUUGCCACAUAAAGUGGGGAAUAUAUUAACAUUUGAUAAAUCUGGUUUAUGUAUCAUUCACCAACCUGCUCAAGCAAAGACAAAGCUAGAAAUCAGUUUAAAGGGGCGACUUGUUUAUUUUGACAAAUGAUAAUCUACACUAAAUUUAUUUAAACUACGGGGUGAGGGGCUAGGAAGGGUGGACCUAGAUGCAGUGAGUUAAGACAAAUGACCUAUUCAUCAAAAUAACCCACCACUUACAAUAAAUGGAUGACUUCGAAUAAUGAGAUACGAUUAAAGAAUCAACAAACUAAUACACAUAUAAAAUCAAUUUUAUUUAUUUAUUUCUCCAUUUAUUUUUUCAUUUUAAAAGGUGGGGUUUCAGAUCUAUAUUUGACCAGAUGCACCCGUUAAUAGAAGUGAACUUUUUCAUUUAGUCACACCCUCGACCACAUAAAGUCCACCAUACCUUUGAAAUAAGGGUAUACACAAAAACAAGCAAACAAAAACGGACAGGUAUUUUCCUCCUCCUCCUUGACAGUGAGAGCAGUGAGCUCUAAACUAUGUCCUCUUCAUCUACAUUAUUGUGCUAUCUUUUUAUUUGUCCUUAAUUUAAUAGCUGGCUCAGCGAUGUCCUUGAUCAAAAGUCCUCAGACCCUGUCCUUCCGCAAACCCAAAAUUUUAAAAUACGCAUCGCAUUGUCCUACUGGCCUCUCGCACUCUCCCUUUUACCUUCUUUCUUUAAGUUUUAAGUCAAUACCCUUCACCUCAUUCCAUGCACUUUCUUCCUCCCCAACUUUUUAGCCCUAUAUAUUCACUCUCACCUCCUCACUUCAUUUCCAUCCCACUCCAUAAGAUCUUCAGCUCCAUUAAGAUCCCAAGCACCAAAUUUGAUCACCCUUUUUUAGAAAAAAAUCCAUGGCAGCGUUUGCAAUUUUGAAACUAGUCUUUGAUAUUUCUCUGUUUCAUUUCAGCUCAGCAGCUAGGAACCUUGCUGAAACUUCUGACCAAAACCAAAUGCAAUUCCACUACCACAACGACCAUCUCCUUACCGGAAAAUUCUCAACUUGAUCUGGUACGGCCGCUUCACCCCCUCCCAGCGUGCAGUCGUUUCUGAUUUUCUCAUCUCCCUAUUUAAACCCACCUCUGACCAACCGUCCGUCGGUACAUGGUGGAAGUCCAUAGAGAAAUACUACCACCUCUCGAAAAAGCCCACUUCAUCUCUCGCCCUGUCUCUGGGAACCCAAGUUCUUGAUGAGAAUUACUCUAUAGGAAAAUCCCUCACUUCCCGCCAGAUCCAACAGCUGGCCUCAAAGGGCGCCCAAAACUACGGGAUCAAUGUCGUUUUGACAUCGUCUGAUGUC